GAAUAUGGGAUGCUUCAUUUGAAAGUAAGUGGUUAAGUGACAUUGUUAAGCCAUAACUUUUCCUUUGGUAAUCAUCCAUACUACUUGAAUGGUUCAGACAUUUUUUUCUCCCUUUGGUCAUUUUUGCUAUUUGUUGCUCAUAAGCUGAUCAGACCCCAACGUGGCUUGUGUAUUGGCUUUUUUAUGUUGCAAAAUGGCUUUCAUCAUUAUUUUUGAACAACAAGGACACAACAUACUAAAAGAGGUCGUUAUGGGCUAAAAGAACAACAUUUGUAUGUAUUUAUCAUAAUAAUAAUGUAAUUGUCUUUGUCAUUGUCAUGAUCAUUGUAAGUCCACCCUAGCAACCUCUUGUCCUUCCUAAAUAUGUCCAGUGCUAUCAUAUUGCUGUUAGUUGGAAGAGAAGAGUUCGGCAUUAAAGGUAGCUGACUGAGAUUCUCUCUUUGGAUUUAAUAUUUUGUUAUCAGUAGAACCAGCUAUGAAAAUAAUAUUCGGCUUUGUGCUUGUUUCAGUAAGAUUGAUAAGCGUAUUAAUGUCUUUUGACGUUUAAUCAGACUUCAUAUUAAUGCUGCAAGUUCCUUUACCACUGUGAUGCUAAGGCAUAGGAAUUGCAAAUACCUUUAUAUUCACCUGCUUGUGCUACUUGUGUAUGUCUUGUGUGGUUGUUAAAUGAAAAGGGAAGGUGAGAAAGAGGGGGUUUGAGGGGAGGGGAAGAUACAAGGAGUAUAGUAAUUGUAUAUUGAUAUGACAUGUGAAAUGUUGUUGAUCUAUAAACUUAUCUAUUUCCUAGCCAGCAAAAGACUGAUUGCUGAACUUAAAAAGCUCAGAUUUACUUAUCAUUUUAGCCUAAAGAGUAAAAUGAAUGCCAGCGCUUGAUCAUAAUUUUUGUUCCAAGUGCUCUUUGAUUUUUAUUGUCAUCUCAGUAACCCAGUGGAGAAUUAUAGAAAAGGAUAGGUUCAAAAGCUAUUUAAGGUUUACAGCCUAGCCAAAUGGCAUCCUCAUCCCUCCUUUUGUCCUUUGAAAGGAUUAGCUCUGACCUAGCUUUUUGUGAUAUUCAAUUUCUGCAGCUUUUACCAGAUUGUGCCCCACAU
rnacentral:misc_RNA from 1 species